rnacentral:rRNA from 1 species
AACGAACGCUGGCGGCAGGCCUAACACAUGCAAGUCGAGCGCGCCCUUCGGGGUGAGCGGCGGACGGGUGAGUAACGCGUGGGAACGUGCCCUUUGCUACGGAAUAGUCUCGGGAAACUGGGGGUAAUACCGUAUGUGCCCUUCGGGGGAAAGAUUUAUCGGCAAAGGAUCGGCCCGCGUUGGAUUAGGUAGUUGGUGGGGUAAUGGCCCACCAAGCCGACGAUCCAUAGCUGGUUUGAGAGGAUGAUCAGCCACACUGGGACUGAGACACGGCCCAGACUCCUACGGGAGGCAGCAGUGGGGAAUCUUAGACAAUGGGCGCAAGCCUGAUCUAGCCAUGCCGCGUGAGCGAUGAAGGCCUUAGGGUUGUAAAGCUCUUUCGUGGGGGAAGAUAAUGACUGUACCCCAAGAAGAAGCCCCGGCUAACUCCGUGCCAGCAGCCGCGGU